AGCGAACGCUGGCGGCAGGCCUAACACAUGCAAGUCGAACGGAUCCAUCAGGAUUAGUGGCGGACGUGUGAGUAACAUGUGGGAAGGUGCACUUAUGUUCCGAACACCUCAGGGAAACUUGAGCUAAUGCAGGAUGAGCUCUUCGGGGGCAACAUUCAUCGCCAUUGGAGCAGCACGCGUCUGACUAGCUUGUUGGGGAUGUAACUGCCCACCAAGGCGACGAUAAGUAGCUGGUCUGAGAGGAUGAUCAGCGACACUGGGGCGAAGACACGGACGAGACUCCUACGGGAUGGAGGAGAGGGUAAUCUUGCGCGAUGGGCGAAAGCAUGACGCAGCCAUGCCGGGUAAAUGAUGAAGGUCGUAAAAAUGUAAAAUACUUUCAGCGGGGACGAUAAUGACGGUACCCGCAGAAGAAGCACCGGCUAACUUCGUG
rnacentral:rRNA from 1 species